rnacentral:lncRNA from 1 species
AGGCUCCAGAUUGUUCUACUCCUGAUGUCAGGAGGAAGCUGAUUUACCUUUGGAAUGAGAUAACCUCUGGGAUCCCUGAACAGUUAAAGGGCAGACGGAAAUAAGGCUUGGCAAUGAAGAUGGACAAGGAACAUAUGCCAGUGCACAUCUAUUAUAAGCCAUUUAUCCCAGACUGUGAUGCAAGUGUGCUUAAGUCUGAAAUGCAAGUGACUCGUACUUACAGGCAAAAUACAUUCCAGCUGAGGAAAAAAGGAUUUUUGUUGCUGAUUUAAUGGAGUGACAGCCUUUCAGAAGUCUUUAAAUUCACCAUUUUCACUGAUGUCACCCUGUUACCAGAAAGGAGUCCUAAUUCUGACCCCAAGAGAAGGUCCUUAAAUCUCGUGCAAGAAAGAUUUCAGGGUCUCAAUGCGAAAGCUGUCUCCAAAUUGCUGUUUUCUGAAAGCCGCCAGUUAAAGGGCUACAUCUUGCCAAGGUAGACUAAUAGAAGUCAAAUUCCAUUGUAAAAGCAGAACUGAAAUUAUACCUCGUGCA